rnacentral:rRNA from 1 species
AUUGAACGCUGGCGGCAGGCCUAACACAUGCAAGUCGAGCGGAGCGGCGGACGGGUGCGUAAUGCCUAGGAAUCUGCCUGGUAGUGGGGGGUCACGUCCUGAAACUGGCGCUAAUACCUCCUACUAUCAGAUGAUCCUAGGUCGGAUUAGCUAGUUGGUGGGGUAAAGGCCUACCAAGGCGACGAGACGUAACUGGUCGGAGAGGAUGAUCAGACACACGGGAACGGAGAAACGGUCCAGACCCCUACGGGAGGCAGCAGUGGGGAAUAUUGGACAAUGGGCGAAAGCCGGAUGCAGCCAUGCCGCGGGUGUGAAGAAGGUCUUCGGAUGGUAAAGCACUUUAAGUUGGGAGGCGUUACCAAAAGAAGAAGCACCGGCUAACUUCGUGCCAGCAGCCGCGGUAAUUC